UGAGAGAGCUGGACCCUGUACAAAUGUCCAACUGGAUGGAUAAACUCUGAAAGAACAGUCUGCCAGAAAAACUGUCAGAACAGGAAGAAAAUAUCCCCAUGAAACUUUUAUGCAUGUGGUUUUGGUCUUCUGGGUUGAAUCACUGUGCCAUGACUUUGAAGAUCACUCCAGAAUCCAGAGCUACUCACAGCAGCAAGUCAUGGAGGUUUUGGAGCACAAGAUGCCAGGAGCGAGUUGGAAAAGAAGGCUUUUACAUACCCUGCUGCUCUGCCUGGGAGGUAAAAAGGGGUAAUCUUUUUGCACACCACAUGAAGCAGGUGAUAUUCUUUUGCUACCAGAAGGAUCUGAAAACUUUGUGAAAAUGGUGCUGUUUAAUACUUUCCCAUGGCAAAGGUUAGCUCCUACGUGUGUGUGUUGGUUGAAUAAAACAUUUUCUUAUUAAAGUGAUAUGCUUCAGAAGGAUUUUGUAACUGAUGAGAAUGUAGGAAAAAUACGUAUUGCCACUGAAUUUUUUAGUGACAUGUCACAGCCCUAGCUGGCUGCUGCAUAUCACAAAAUACAGAGAAGCAUGCAUAGUCUGUUCAAAGGUUGUUUAUUUCAAAGAUGCAGACAUUUAAAAGAGCUCUAAAGGGCAUAUUGUUAUGCAGACUUUCAAGCAUAUUAAGUCUAUUUGGAGAAAUGUGAUACAGAUAUAUUGCUGGCAAUGCACAAAGAGGUUAUAGGCAUGCUGUGUGCUAGACAAUAUGGAGUUUAUAAUAUGGAAAUAAAAAUU